GACAGAGGGUGCAAACGUUGUUCGGAAUUACUGGGCAUAAAGAGCACGUAGGUGGUCUGCUAAGUCGUGUGUGAAAUCCCCCGGCUCAACCGGGGAAUAGCGCUCGAUACUGGCAGGCUCGAGGUGGGUAGGGGUGAGCGGAACUCCAGGUGGAGCGGUGAAAUGCGUAGAUAUCUGGAGGAACACCGGUGGCGAAAGCGGCUCACUGGACCCAAUCUGACACUGAGGUGCGAAAGCUAGGGUAGCAAACGGG
rnacentral:rRNA from 1 species